rnacentral:rRNA from 1 species
GAUGAACGCUAGCGGCAGGCUUAACACAUGCAAGUCGAGGGGUAACAUGAAAAGCUUGCUUUUCUGAUGACGACCGGCGCACGGGUGCGUAACGCGUAUACAACCUACCUUUUAGCGGGGAAUAGCCCAGGGAAACUUGGAUUAAUGCCCCAUAGUAUAUGGACUUCUCCUGAAGUUUAUAUUAAACAUUUAUGGCUAUUAGAUGGGUAUGCGUCCUAUUAGUUAGUUGGUAAGGUAACGGCUUACCAAGGCAGCGAUAGGUAGGGGUCCUGAGAGGGAGAUCCCCACACUGGUACUGAGACACGGACCAGACUCCUACGGGAGGCAGCAGUGAGGAAUAUUGGACAAUGGGCGAGAGCCUGAUCCAGCCAUGCCGCGUGCAGGAAGACUGCCCUAUGGGUUGUAAACUGCUUUUACAGAGGAAGAACCACCCCACGUGUGGGGGUUUGACGGUACUCUGCGAAUAAGGAUCGGCUAACUCCGUG